AUCGUUUUUAUGCUCUUUUAUUCUACACCUCAGUGAUCUAACAGUACUGCCUAUAUAUGCAUGGUAUGUCUUAUCAUGAUUAUCUAAUAUUGGAAUUAAACAUACACCUGCAGCAUCAUAUAGAGAAACUUUUGGCUUAUAAUUACAUAGUGAUCUAUAAAUCGUAUUAUGGUUACUGUAGGGGAGCACGUAGUUAUGUCUUUUGAGGGCCUUUCGUAUAGGAUCAAAGAUAUUAUGGUAUGAAAUCGCAUUUAUAUAUUUAAGUUGGACAUUGUCAUUAUUUUGGUUAUUAGAAGUUGUGUUAUUUCUAAGAAUCAUGCUAUUCAAGAUACCUUCUAUAAACUUAUGCAUUAUGAAGCAAGCACUAUAGCCAUGCAUGUGUGCUUGCUUCAUAAUAAGGCUGUAUUCAUUAUUUAUAUCUUCUUGUAGCAAACAGUGCAUAGACAUAUGCUUUAAUAGAAAUCUAAAGGCUGUUAUUUUGUAUUUAAAAGGGGUGUUUGCCCACGAUGGUAUAAAAAUAGGGGCAUAUGUUGGUUUACGGUAUACACUAGUUAUAAUAUUAUCAUCAUUAAGCUUAAUUUGCACAUCGAGGUAAUGAAUACUAUCACAAGAAUUCUGUUCGAGUUUUAGGUGUAAUCCCAUGGUAUUAUCAUUAAAGCAUUCUAAUAUGUCAUGUAUAUUAGAAGCAGAAUUAUAUAUAAUAAAGAUAUCAUCAACGUAACGUAAAAACAUAUAAACAUCAUGCUUCAGUAUAGGUAAGAUUUUCUUUUCUUUUUCUCAAAUGACUAACUCAGCUAUAACACCUGCCAUGGGGGCACCUAUUGGCACACCUGAUGUUUGUCUGUAAUAUACACCAUUAAAUAUAAAAUAAGAAUUAUAAA
rnacentral:lncRNA from 1 species